UCCAACUAAACAGCUCAACAUACAAAUAGUGAACGUAAGGGCGCAGUCCUUUCAGUGUUGCCCUCCCAGUUUGUUUCACUUUUCAGGCCAGUCGCCAUUCUUUGGGGUAGGGCGGGGUAUUGUCUGUUGUGGGAUGUCCCUUCAGAAGGGAAAAUUGCAAGUACUCUGUUGUGUAUCAGUGUCUGCUGGUCAGCUCUACAAACGAUCUGUCGAAAUAGGGGUGCUAUGGGAAGGAAUUUCUACCUAUGCCACAGUGCAAGUAAUUAAGGAGCAUCAGACAAGGCAACAAAGGCUGGUCAGAGUGCCAGAGGGCUGGUGUCCCAGCAGCAGGCUGCAUGGGUGCUGAGGGAUGCUGAAUGUGCAGCCAGAGCAAGGCUCGCCACCGUGGCUAAAAGGUAACACAGACAGAUUUUGGACUGCAGAUCCUUUCUGUGAUUCCAGACACCAAAUCAACACAGCUGCAUGACACCAGGGUGAGCUGUGAAGCUGCUGAAGAACCAUGUUUUGGAAGAAGCAGAAAAGUAAAAUCUUGAUUCCUUGCAGUAACUUGUAUGGAGGUUAAUUCCAUGAAUUGAUCUUGCUCUGCAAUUGGCAGUAUAAGAAUAUCUUACUAAAAAGAGAAUGAAGAUGGGGAUAUCAACAUAAGUGGUGGAUGUUAAAGAAUGAGGUAGCUUGAUGACAGCUGAAGAAGACUGUAUUUGCCGAAGAGCAGCAUGAUGGUAGAGAGGAGCAGAGCUCCUGAGGGAGAUCUAAUGGUGCCUCUCCUUCCUGCACAGAGAUAAAGACUUAUAAUAAGCGUGUAUGUUCACCAUCUGGCUCUGUGCAUGUGGUCCUUAUGGAGGCGAAAGCAGCACAAUCUGUAAAUGAUCAGGAGCCAUCGCACUCUCUCCAGAGAAUCCACGAUGCAAUCAAGGUGACAGAUGGCAUGGCCGCUGCUGUGGCCUCAUGGAGAAGAUCAAAAUCACCUUCAAUAAACUCUGACUGAAAUGGGCAUGAGCACCUCAAAAAAGUCAGUUUGUCAGUCAAACUGCGACAGCAAGCUGCAUUGGGGAAACAUAGCGGCCAGCUCUCUGUUUUCAAUCGUUUCCAUCUGACUGAGCCUGAACUAUGAUCUUUCUCAAAUUGUCCUUUCUGUUUAGCUGAAGCAGGCCAGCAAAUUGCCAGAUUCAUAGCUUUAUUGAAGGAAAUUGAAAACAUGAUGUCCUCAAUUCAAGGGACAAACAGCUGGCAGGUGCUUGGACACCCAAGCACAUAAAAUGGACCCCUAGUCUUUUGGACAAGUUUGUCCAACUUUUGU